UACGUAGGGGGCAAGCGUUGUCCGGAAUCAUUGGGCGUAAAGCGCGCGUAGGCGGUCCGGUAAGUCCGCUGUAAAAGCCCAGGGCUCAACCCUGGAAAGCCGGUGGAUACUGUCGGGCUAGAGUCCGGAAGAGGCGAGUGGAAUUCCUGGUGUAGCGGUGGAAUGCGCAGAUAUCAGGAGGAACACCGAUGGCGAAGGCAGCUCGCUGGGACGGUACUGACGCUGAGGCGCGAAAGCGUGGGGAGCGAACAGG
rnacentral:rRNA from 1 species